AAAAAGCCUACCGGUUGGAAUAAAGAGUCCACCGUCCUCCAUCUCUUCCUCAGCUUGGCGAACCAGAGGUCCGAGUGGCUUGUCUUGAGGGAAGGCAGAACCAUCUGGCUGGACUGACUUCCGAGGCUGGGCACCUGGUUUUGCAGACUGACUGCUGGAUGACAGCAAAGGAACCUCCCCUUCGGAACGCAUCUCAAGUUCUCCUAGAAGAAUCGCAAACAUUGCUCCACACUCUCUCUGCCCAUGAUUAUUCAUGUGCUCCUGCAAAAGUAGCAUCUUUUCCUGAGACCUUUAUGAUAGACACCUUCAGGAAGCAUAUUAGGCACACAGGCUUUCCCUUCUCGUCAAGAUGGGCUCCCAAAACAAAGAAUGAAAUGAAAACUCAGAUCCAAAUUAUUCAUCCCGAGUUCACAGAAUGAAUGAUGCAUAAUUGCUAUGACACUUCCUAUUCAAAUAAGCUUGGAACUCUGUUUCCCUAAGAAAAUCAGACCAUGGGGUGAAGAUUUAGUUCAAUGGCAGAGUGUCAGCCUAGUACAUAUGACACCCCUGGGCUCAGUUCACAGCAUCAAGAAAACAGAAAUCAGAAUAUAGGGUAGAGGGUAUAAGAGGACAAAGGGACAGUUAGAGCUGACCAUUAACACUACAUUUCACCAACUAUAAAUGAUAUAAAAUGUCCAAAGUAGGGGCUGGAGAGGUAAUUCAGAGGUUAAGAACACCGGCUGUUCUUGUAAAGCUCCCAAUUUCAAUUCCCAGCACCCAUAUUGCAGUUCCUGAGCACCUGUAACUCCAGUUCCAGCUGAUCUCUUCUGCCCUCUACAUGCACAAGGCCUGCAUCAGGAGCAAAGGCAGACACUGUGUGCUGGGAAUGGGAAGGAACCCCACACACUCAUUUGUUUGCAUUCUUACUCCCUAAUGGGUGAACCCUCUGAGAAAGAUUCGAAGGAUUAGGCUUUAUGGGAGUGGGUGUGGAAUUCUUGGAGGCAGAGAGUCACUGGAGUGGGCUCUGAGGUUUCAUAAAAACCCAUGCCAGGCCCAGUGGCUCUCUGCCUGCUGCCUGUGGAUCAGAAUGUAUCUAGUUCUCAGAUACAGCUAACUAAGCAGGCUGCCACACCCCCCACCAUAAUGAACUAACCCUCUAACUGUGAACUAACUGUAAGUAACCCCCCAAUUGAAUACUUUAAGAACUGCCUUGGUCAUGGUGUCUUUUCACAGCAAGAGGAACCAUAAUAAAGACAUACAUAAUUUUUUUUUUUUAAUUUGUAAAAAGAAAAAAAUGGGGCUGGAGAGAUGGCUCAGCGGUUAAGAGCACCGACUGUUCUUCCAAAGUCCUGAGUUCAAAUCCCAGCAACCACAUGGUGGCUCACAACCAUCUGUAAUGAGAUCUGACACCCUCUUCUGGAAUGUCUGAAGACAGCUACAAUGUACUUACAUAUAAUAAAUAAAUAAAUCUUUUUGAAAAAAGUAAAAAAAAUGUCUAAGGCAUACUGGCAGACAUCUGUAACCCUAGCACUGUGGAAGCUGAGGCAGGAUAGUGAGUUUAAGUCUUGGGCUAUAUAGCAAGGCUAGGUCUC
rnacentral:lncRNA from 1 species